UACGGAGGGAGCUAGCGUUGUUCGGAAUUACUGGGCGUAAAGCGCACGUAGGCGGCUUUGUAAGUUAGAGGUGAAAGCCCGGAGCUCAACUCCGGAAUUGCCUUUAAGACUGCAUCGAUUGAAUCCAGGAGAGGUGAGUGGAAUUCCGAGUGUAGAGGUGAAAUUCGUAGAUAUUCGGAAGAACACCAGUGGCGAAGGCGACUUACUGGACACAUAUUGACGCUGAGGUGCGAAAGCGUGGGGAGCAAACAGG
rnacentral:rRNA from 1 species